rnacentral:rRNA from 1 species
ACGUUAUUCGGAAUCACUGGGCUUAAAGCGCGUGUAGGCGGGAGGGAACGUCGGCCGCUGAAAUCCCCCGGCUUAACCGGGGAAGUGGCGCCGAUACGGCCGUCCUGGAGGGACGUAGGGGGAGCUGGAACUUCCGGUGGAGCGGUGAAAUGCGUUGAGAUCGGAAGGAACGCCCGCGGCGAAAGCGAGCUCCUGGACGUCUGCUGACGCUGAGACGCGAAAGCCA